rnacentral:rRNA from 1 species
CAAGGAGUUGACGUGCGGGCGAGUCAGAGGGUUCCCAUACCCCGUGGCGCAGCGAAAGCGUUGCACGCUACCGCGAUCCCCCGACUUCGGUCGGGGGCGCAGCGGUGCCCCGUCGGUCCCCGUUCGGGGUCCGGCGGCGGUCCGAGCGCGUACGUCGAGACCCGAAAGAUGGUGAUCUAUGCCCGGAGAGGACGAAGGCCUGGGGAAAUCCAGGUGGAGGUUCGCAGCGGCUCUGACGUGCAAAUCGAUCGUCUCAUCCGGGUAUAGGGGCGAUAGACCUAUCGAACCAUCUGGUAGCUGGUUCCCUCCGAAGUUUCCCUCAGGAUAGCUGGCGCUCGCCUAACAGUCGGGAGUGGUAGAGAGAAUGAUUAGAGUGUCAUCGGGGGAACACCGCUUCCCUCGUCCUAUUCUCAAACUGCGACCGCUCCCGUCAUACGGGGGGUCGGACGUAGAGGCG